UGUGUGUGCUAAAUUUAGUAGUCAAAGUUCAAUGCGGAAUAUUGAAUAACUGGAGGAGGCACUGCGGCGAGUACUCCUCUUUCGAGUUCUACUACUUUUCCAGACGGCUUGGUACAUAUUUGCACAUGUGCUGCGAUAGAGAGCGCCAGAAACUUAUGAACAAAAAGAGAGCCGCCGCUGGAAACCAAUAAGCUACACGGUGAGAAAGUUCUUAUCCAUACAAUAAAAAAACAAAAAAAAAAGGUUUUUUCAUCUGGAUAUAUGCUGAGAUCUUCGAUCGCAAGAGAGAUAGAACUCAGGACUUCGCGUGGGAGAGCUGAUAUCAGCGGUGCGAGUGUAACGGUAAAGGGCAAGCCCCACACAUGGCAGACCGAAAACAAGCCGCCACACAGUCAAGCCUCUUUGCCCAAGAUCAGUACCAUGACCAAGAUCGAAGCGCUUUAAUUGAGAUGUUUUCGCUGGCUUUUAUUGCUGUUUGUGUUUACUUUUCGCACUCGCAUGUUUAAUUAUAAUGUUAACAGCGGUUGAGCGGCCCAAACAUCUUUCGAGGGGUACGACUGUACCAGCCAAUAGGGCCGAACCAAACGGAGAACGUUGGGCCCAGGUAGCCCGGUGUUUAUUGUUAUUUCGUGUUCAUGCCGGACCUUAAUUAAGUGUUAAAAUGGCCCGAAAUGAAAUCUGCGAGUGUGGGUUAGCUGGAAGCGGUGACGCUGUGACGAUAGCGUCACUAUCGUUAUCACCCCCAAGCCACUCGAAAGGCGCAAAUGUUAUCAGCGCCGGCACUCGCACUCGCGCGAGAGCAACAACAGCAGAUCCCGGUCCGCAAUCCAACCCAGAAUCGGCCGACAUUAUUCAGCUCUCCAGCUUGCGGCUUCAGCACACGGCAUCCGCCCAUGCCCCAAUCUUUCCACUGCCCGGGGGGCCUUCGGGGACAUUGCCUUUGCUGUAGCUACAAUGGUGUGCCAUUGCUGUUGCUGUUGCUGUGGCUAUAGCCACUGCCAGCUGGCUCAAUCCGACGAACUUUCUUGCGAACAGCGGAGGGCGAGCAACUAGCAACUUAUGACUAAAAUAAAAGCGAGCGAUUAAUUACAAUUGAAUAAUUGCAAGUUCUUUAUUACGACAACUUCAUAGCUCAAGAAGGAUUUCUUGGAAAAUUCUUCGAGUAACUGAAAGAAACUUGAAAGAACUUAAGAACUUAAAUUCAAAGCAUGUUGAAUUAAUGUUGUUUGAGAACAUCAAUUCAAAAAUUUGUAUCCCGAAAAGAAAAGAUAUUGUACGUCUAUAAUAAAUAUGUACAAUUUUUUAAAGAUAUUUUUGUUUAGAAUAAAUAUGUCUAAAUGUCUAUAUUUUAGAAUUAGUUCUCGUUCUCUCAAGACAUGUACCAACGGACAGGAAGAAAUUGUAGUUAAAUAUGGAGCUUUAAUGUUUAAACCUUCGUUUAGCUUAACAUCCAUGCGAAUAAAGGUCCCCUAAGCCCGAAAAUACACAUAAAUAAAGGACAAACUUGUCAUAUUUUAAUUUUUUUUAAAGAUAUUUUGUAUUCAUAAGUUAAUACUUUAAAGCUGAACUAUGUAGAUACAAAAUCGUAGGAUUUUUAAGAUUUCAGAGCAUAAGUGAGUGCAGAAAAUAUGUUUAAAUAAAAUAUAAAAUAUAUCGGUUUUAUUUUAGUCUAAA